rfam:Otolemur garnettii contig165218, whole genome shotgun sequence.
AAAGUAGCAUUUACAGACAUUUUGUUCCUUGCAGUACACCUUUCAAAAGACAUCUUCAUCAAGUAGGACUGAG